AUGAACGCUAGCGACAGGCUUAACACAUGCAAGUCGAGGGGCAGCACGGGUAGCAAUACCGGGUGGCGACCGGCGCACGGGUGAGUAACGCGUAUGCAACUUGCCUAUCAGAGGGGGAUAACCCGGCGAAAGUCGGACUAAUACCGCAUGAAGCAGGGGCCCCGCAUGGGGAUAUUUGCUAAAGAUUCAUCGCUGAUAGAUAGGCAUGCGUUCCAUUAGGCAGUUGGCGGGGUAACGGCCCACCAAACCGACGAUGGAUAGGGGUUCUGAGAGGAAGGUCCCCCACAUUGGUACUGAGACACGGACCAAACUCCUACGGGAGGCAGCAGUGAGGAAUAUUGGUCAAUGGCCGAGAGGCUGAACCAGCCAAGUCGCGUGAGGGAUGAAGGUUCUAUGGAUCGUAAACCUCUUUUAUAAGGGAAUAAAGUGCGGGACGUGUCCCGUUUUGUAUGUACCUUAUGAAUAAGGAUCGGCUAACUCCGUGCCAGCAGCCGCGGUAAUACGGAGGAUCCGAGCGUUAUCCGGAUUUAUUGGGUUUAAAGGGUGCGUAGGCGGCCUUUUAAGUCAGCGGUGAAAGUCUGUGGCUCAACCAUAGAAUUGCCGUUGAAACUGGGGGGCUUGAGUAUGUUUGAGGCAGGCGGAAUGCGUGGUGUAGCGGUGAAAUGCAUAGAUAUCACGCAGAACCCCGAUUGCGAAGGCAGCCUGCCAAGCCAUUACUGACGCUGAUGCACGAAAGCGUGGGGAUCAAACAGGAUUAGAUACCCUGGUAGUCCACGCAGUAAACGAUGAUCACUAGCUGUUUGCGAUACACUGUAAGCGGCACAGCGAAAGCGUUAAGUGAUCCACCUGGGGAGUACGCCGGCAACGGUGAAACUCAAAGGAAUUGACGGGGGCCCGCACAAGCGGAGGAACAUGUGGUUUAAUUCGAUGAUACGCGAGGAACCUUACCCGGGUUUGAACGCAUUCGGACCGAGGUGGAAACACCUUUUCUAGCAAUAGCCGUUUGCGAGGUGCUGCAUGGUUGUCGUCAGCUCGUGCCGUGAGGUGUCGGCUUAAGUGCCAUAACGAGCGCAACCCUUGCCACUAGUUACUAACAGGUAAAGCUGAGGACUCUGGUGGGACUGCCAGCGUAAGCUGCGAGGAAGGCGGGGAUGACGUCAAAUCAGCACGGCCCUUACAUCCGGGGCGACACACGUGUUACAAUGGCGUGGACAAAGGGAAGCCACCUGGCGACAGGGAGCGAAUCCCCAAACCACGUCUCAGUUCGGAUCGGAGUCUGCAACCCGACUCCGUGAAGCUGGAUUCGCUAGUAAUCGCGCAUCAGCCAUGGCGCGGUGAAUACGUUCCCGGGCCUUGUACACACCGCCCGUCAAGCCAUGGGAGCCGGGGGUACCUGAAGUCCGUAACCGCGAGGAUCGGCCUAGGGUAAAACUGGUGACUGGGGCU
rnacentral:rRNA from 1 species